GACGAACGCUGGCGGCGUGCCUAAUACAUGCAAGUUGAGCGCUGAAGGUUGGUACUUGUACCAACUGGAUGAGCAGCGAACGGGUGAGUAACGCGUGGGGAAUCUGCCUUUGAGCGGGGGACAACAUUUGGAAACGAAUGCUAAUACCGCAUAAAAACUUUAAACACAAGUUUUAAGUUUGAAAGAUGCAAUUGCAUCACUCAAAGAUGAUCCCGCGUUGUAUUAGCUAGUUGGUGAGGUAAAGGCUCACCAAGGCGAUGAUACAUAGCCGACCUGAGAGGGUGAUCGGCCACAUUGGGACUGAGACACGGCCCAAACUUCUACGGGAGGCAGCAGUAGGGAAUCUUCGGCAAUGGACGAAAGUCUGACCGAGCAACGCCGCGUGAGUGAAGAAGGUUUUCGGAUCGUAAAACUCUGUUGGUAGAGAAGAACGUUGGUGAGAGUGGAAAGCUCAUCAAGUGACGGUAACUACCCAGAAAGGGACGGCUAACUACGUG
rnacentral:rRNA from 1 species